rnacentral:rRNA from 1 species
UCCUACGGGGGGCAGCAGUAGGGAAUUUUCGUCAAUGGGCGCAAGCCUGAACGAGCAAUGCCGCGUGAACGAGGAAGGUCUUCGGAUCGUAAAGUUCUGUUGAAGGGGAAAAAGAGCGGAGAGAGGAAAUGGUCUCCGGUUGAUAUUACCCUUCGAGAAAGUCACGGCUAACUACGUGCCAGCAGCCGCGGUAAUACGUAGGUGGCGAGCGUUAUCCGGAAUGAUUGGGCGUAAAGGGUGCGUAGGCGGCCUGCUAAGUCUGGAGUGAAAGGUACCGGCUCAACCGGUACAGGCUCUGGAAACUG